AAAGGAAAGAAAAGAAAGGAGAGGAAGAAAAGAGAAAGCAGCGAUGGGAACGAGGAGGUGUUUUUGGUUUCUCUUUUUCUUUCCUUUCUUUCUUUUCCCUUCUUCGUUCUGGAUGUGUUGUUUUUUGUUUUUGUUUUUUUGGAGGAGAGAAAGAGAAAGAGAGGGGAGGUGGUGUUUGUGUUUUUACAGGGAAG
rnacentral:ribozyme from 1 species